rnacentral:rRNA from 1 species
UCAGGCCUAACACAUGCAAGUCGAACGCCCCCUUCGGGGGGAGUGGCAGACGGGUGAGUAACGCGUGGGAACCUACCUAUCAGUACGGAACAACUCAGGGAAACUUGUGCUAAUACCGUAUACGUCCUUCGGGAGAAAGAUUUAUCGCUGAUAGAUGGGCCCGCGUUAGAUUAGCUAGUUGGUGAGGUAAUGGCUCACCAAGGCGACGAUCUAUAGCUGGUCUGAGAGGAUGAUCAGCCACACUGGAACUGAGACACGGUCCAGACUCCUACGGGAGGCAGCAGUGGGGAAUAUUGGACAAUGGGCGCAAGCCUGAUCCAGCCAUGCCGCGUGAGUGAUGAAGGCCCUAGGGUUGUAAAGCUCUUUCAACGGUGAAGAUAAUGACGGUAGCCGUAGAAGAAGCCCCGGCUAACUUCGUGCCAGCAGCCGCGGUAAUACGAAGGGGGCGAGCGUUGUUCGGAAUCACUGGGCGUAAAGCGUACGUAGGCGGAUAGAUUAGUUAGGGGUGAAAUCCCGAGGCUCAACCUCGGAACUGCCUCUAAUACUGUCUAUCUAGAGAUCGAGAGAGGUGAGUGGAAUUCCUAGUGUAGAGGUGAAAUUCGUAGAUAUUAGGAAGAACACCAGUGGCGAAGGCGGCUCACUGCUCGAUACUGACGCUGAGGUACGAAAGCGUGGGGAGCAAACAGGAUUUUGUUACCCU